rnacentral:lncRNA from 1 species
CCAAAUGCAAACAACAUACACAACCAAUUCGGAUCGUUGAUCAAACUCAUCAACGGUCUAUAACUAACUGAGGUAACCCCAAACCCUAGAGACCAUUUUGGUCUCACCAGCCGCCCUUAUUUCCCCUUUUUCUAUCUUUUCUCUCCUCCGCUCAUAAUCUGCUAUCUCUCAAACCUUGCACAAAAAUUUUCAAGGUCAUUCAAGAGAUCCAAAGCUUCAUCAUUCUUCCUCUGUCAACCGUGAAUCCCGCUAAGAUUUCCUUUUUCCUCACCCGAUUUCGAAUUCCAUCCCUUGAAAGCCUAGACCAAAAUGUGAAAAACAAGAAUAUAAUCAUUUCAUCUUCUGAUCGUUCGAAUUGGUUGCAUGCAAACUAUAGAUCUAUGAGAUCUCAGACAUCACAAUGACAAUUCUUAGUCCAGAGUUCAAACACAAUGACCUCUAGACAUUGGUUUUAACCAGCGGUCUGUUAGGCCUCAAUGGAUAAUUUCUUCAUCAUUUCGAAUAGGUAAUCUCUCCUUCUGAUUUUCCCUUCUUUUUUCCUCAUGUUUCCCCCCUCUUGCUCUCAUCAACAUUCAUCAUCGUUCACUAUGUCUUUAAAAUUCAAACGGCACCCUAAAGGCUCCAAUGGCCACUAUAAAUAGAGGGCAUUAAUGCUCUCACCAAACAGAGGAAUUACCUAAAAAAUCCAGUAAAUGCUAUCUACUUAAAUACUCAAAAAUUCUUCUAUAAUUUCUUUUCCUUCAUUUCUACUCGAACUAGACUGUUACAAAUUGAUUGUGUGGUUGGGUCUCUAAAAGUCUAGUAAUUACCUCUACUUGGUUUGCUGCUCCGAAGAAUGUCAGUAAACCACUGACCCCCUCUUUAUUAUCCAGUUGUUCAUGUAUUAUCAUGUAGUUAUGUUUUUUUGAUGUUUUCUGUUAAUUACUUUCCCAUUCUUCUUCAAGAUGUUCAUCAGCAGACAUGUGGCUUUUUAUUGUGUUCUGCUGCUUGUUUUGAUCUUUAUUGAUACUUCAUGUUCAUUGUUAUGUUUAUCCUUAUGUUGUUGUUUACAUCAAUAUCUUAUAGUGAUCAUUGAUUUUUGUGUCUUAUACUGAUAUUAUCAUUAGGUGUAUGUCUUAUUUAAUUGAAUUGAUAUUAUUAUGAUCCUCAUCCUGUUAACCCUUUAUGUUAAUCUGCUUGUUUGGCCUAUACUAUUGCUUUAUUGAUUAAGUGAUAUUUAUGCUCGUAUUAUUAUGUGGAUUAAGCUGAUUGAGUGAUUUUCCUAAACCUUUCAUGCCAUCCUAUUUAAUCAACUAAAAGAACCUUAUGUUUAUAUCAUUAUGUUGUCUUGCUUGAAUGACCCUCAUGUCUAUAGUAUCCUGUUCUUUAGUAAUUAACAGGAUCCCCCCAAUAGUUAUGCCUACAUUACCAUGCUAAUUUGUUUGUUUAAUCAAGGAACUUUAGUUAAUAGUCUUGUUCCUAGUAUUAUGUUAUUAUGUUCAGCUAAUGUAGAAUGGUGUAUGUGUGUUUAUCAUGGUAACAUGAAUAAAAAGGAAGUACAUGACAAACUUUGAUUUAGAGUGUAACAGUGAUCCUGCUUGCUUGCCUAAAAUGAUAACUGUUGCACCCUAUUUUGCACAAGUCAAAAAAAAAAUACAACUAGUGGUUCUUCUGAAGUUGAUAAAAGAAAAGAGUCGCCACCUAAUAUUUAAGGUAUAUUAGGGUACCUAUAAGUCUGUGAAAAUUAGUAUCCUAAAAGUUUGAUAACCGGUGAGAUUUGGGUAAGGGUUCUAGUUAUUCUAAGGGGAAGGUGUUAGGCAUCCCUUGAAAUCUACCUGAGGUAGCUCCUUAAACUUAGGCUAAGUUUGGGUAAAGGAAUAUCUAUAUUCUGUUUGAAAUUACUAAGGGAGAUUUUGCAAAAAUACUUCAAAUCUUGUUUGAAAACUUAUUUUGAGAAAGAGAUUGUGUACUUUAUUUGAAAAGAGUGAUACUUAUUUGUAAUUCUUUAUAACGUAUAGAACAGGAGACUACUAAAAUAUAAUUUGGUUGAGGAAGGGUAUACCUUUUUUGUUUCAUGAAAAUGGUCCUAAUGAAAUGCCUUAUGUUUUCGAAUUCCUUUGUUGUUUCUUGUUAGCACUGCUUUGUAUGGUUGCUCUUAUCUUUUGAAACAGUUCCUUUUAUUAUGUGCGAUCCAUUUGAUGAUUUUCCAAAGGGGGUUUGCUUUUUGUUUUCGAAUCUGCCAAAGAGCUUAAAGCUGAAAGUCAUUAGUGGUAAUGAAACUUCUUAUUUAUUAGAAAGGUUAGUUUUAAAUGUUAAUUCUCGAAACAUUAGAAUAACAGAAACAUUGAGUUCAGUAAUAAACUUUUUUACCUAUAGGUCUUGGUUUGCCUAUUAAGAUAUUAAAAGUAUGCAAUAAUAAAGUUAGUUCUUCCAAAGAUAUGCACGUAGAAUAGAAAAUGACAAACAACUAUCAUUUAAGAUAAUGGAAUGGAGAGCUGGACUCUUUAAUAAUUGGGCUGGUAAGCAAACUAGGACCAACGGGAUUUAAAUCAACAGAAGUAGACUCAACAGGUACAGGGGAAGUAUCCCAAGUUUUGAUGUUGGGCCUGAGCUCCAAAUGGACUCAGCAGGCCCAGAUCGAACAUACAUACAAAAGGAACAAAGAAGAUAAUUAGCGGAUAUCAAUAAGAUAAAAUCAUGACAAGUAAAUAAUAACAAAGGGGACUGAAAUACAAUAGAGCCAAUUUUAUUUGUGUUAACCUAAUGAGGAUUAAUUAAAUAUGUGAUCAAAGGCUUAGGAUAAACCUCAUUUUAUGGAUAAAGUUCCCCUGUGGGACCCUUGAUAUUUUAGAGUUUAUGAGGGUCUCAUGGGCCCCGAACAGUACUUAGGGAGGGGUAUCUCAACCACAAACCAACCUCACACCUAAACACCCUUGAUCAUUAACUCGUAUUCCUCCUUAAUGGUUUGAAUACAAAUAAAGUGUCAACUUUAGCAGUUUCACAUUGCCAUAAUUAAAUACAAAGGUUCAUGAUAAACCUUUCAGAGAUUCAGACACACAGAAGUUCAACAAACUGAGAACACAUAGCCACAUUAGACUUUGCAACCAUCAUUAGAGCACAAUCAGCCAAGAACCAUCAUAAUUUCAACUUUGGAAUACUCUUUACCAGAGCACUGAGUAUAAAGAUAGGUCAUCCCAUAUUGACUGUUAAAAUACUAAUAAUAUCAAGGGUCUUAAGGUGUAGAAUACCUAAGAGUAUUAUUACUAUGAUACAAUUGUAAGGGGCAGAUGGCUGAUUACAUGUUGCCAAUUAACUAAGUUCCAUUUAUAAUUUUAAGGUCAGAUAUGCUAGGUUAAGAAGUCUAAGGUAUCAGUGGUUGUCAAAGAUAAACAUGCAUACUCAUUCUGUUAUCCUCCUUAAAGAUCAAAAAUUUUAGAAUCUUUCCUAAGCAUGAUUCAAAUCACUAGAGCUGGUCACAGAAUAAGAUAAUAGCUUUUAAAGUAGUUCUAACAGGUUGGUACACAAACAUGACUUUUUGUUAAACACUCAUGCCAAUAACAUCAAUAGGAGUCCCCAAAGAUCACACUAAACAGCUAGGUCAACAUGGACAACAACAUGAAUAUGAGAGGCUAGCUUUUAGUUUUUAUGUAGCCUAAUGAUCAUGACAUCUAGUAGUGACAACAUGUAGCCUAUCAGAUUAUCAAGUCGCUUGAUCCAAACAACUUCAGAUUCCUAAUUAAGUUCUCUAUAAACAGUGGUAUCAACAGGCAUGAGAUAGAAAAUAAUGAUAUUCCCUUUUAAUUAGAUCACAAUAAGUUGUCAUUUUGGAUAUGUAGAUAGGUUCACUAGCAGGGUAUGCCAACAAGGUUCAAUACAUGAUUUAUAUACAAGUUGUCAUGAUAGGCACUCAUGAAUCAGAAUAACAUGGUAUCAUGAUCAACUUUACCAGCUAGAGUUAUUUAGGCAAGAACAAGUCAUCACGAGCAUUAUGAAGAGGUAUCUUAAUGAGAAUUACUCACUGAACUCAAGCCAAUACAAUAUCAUAGAAAGGUCAAGAUUACUGCAGGUAUAAAGUCUUAGUAGGUUAACACAGUGAUUCAAGUAUAAUCAGACUAAGGUCAUAUAAUUGUCCCUGAACACAAUUUGUUUAAUAGGGUCAACAUGACAUAUGCGAGCAUAAGUAUAUGGGUCAAUAAGAGUCAUUCAACCAACACAAUAACAAAGGUUUCAAGUAGCCACUACUAAAAAGCUCAAACAGUCAUGAGGUAGCAAAUAUUAACACUCAUUAUAGGGCUAAUCCCAAAUUAUAUCAAUAUAUAUAUGAGCAGUCCAACAAGAUUUAUUAUGUGAUCCCUUUAUCAUAAGAAACACACAGAAAACAUUUCAUCAUAGUGGCAUGAACAAGCUGUCAACUAGAGUCAAACAGGUCAACAUGAAAGUACAAAAUUGUGGCGAGACUCAUUCUAUUGAACUGAAACAAUGUAGCAUAAUGUCACAGACAUAAGGAUCAAAAUAGCACAGUACAACAGGUGUGAGAUUUAAAUAGGACAUCAGGAGAAGCUUAAGAACAUGACUUAAUCGAUUAGCUAACAUGGUAGUAUGACUAUCAUUUAACUAAUACUGGUGUAAUAUACAUAAUGUCAACAUAAGGUUUAGCUCAGCUAAUCAUAAAGUCUCAACAUGAUUUUUCAUCAAGAGUAACCACAAUACAUACGCAUUUUACUAACUAAAUCAUGAUAGGUAAAGUUCAAUAGCCAUUGAAGACAAAUUAUAGGGAAAUUAUUGUAACGACCUGACCGGUCGUUUUGAGCAUUUGCACUUUGCUCGGUAGUUUGAUAGCAUGAGUAGCUCCAUAUGAUAUAUUAUAACUUGUAUGUAUCUUCGAUUUCGAUUUUCAAGUGAUUCGGAAUUAGUUUGGAAGAAUGAAUUUCAUGUUUGAAGCUUAAAGUUGCAAGAGUUGAUCAAGUUUGACUUUUAUGUAUUUGAUGGUUUCAUUAGGUCCGGAUGGUGAUUUUAAACUUCGGUGUAUGCCUGGAUUUGCAUUUGGGUUUUUCUAGAAGGUUUCGGUACUAUUUGGCGAAAGCUGGUAAUUUGAAGACUUGAAAUAUUCAUAAGUUUGACCGGGAGUUGACUUUAAUGUUAUUGGGUUUGGAUCGUUGUUCCAGGAGUGAGACUAGGUUCGAUAUGUCAUUUGGAAGUUUUAUAAAGAAUUUGGAUUCAUUCCGCAUUGGUUAAGCUUGAAUCGGACGCUUGGUUCGAACUUUGAAGUUUAUGAACUUAAGUGAUUGAUCUUGAUCGACGAUUCAUGAUUUUGAUGUCAUAAUGUGUGAUUUGGGUCCUCGAGUAGGUCUGUAAUAUAUUUCGGGACUUGUUGGUAUGUUCGAACGGGAUCCCGAGGGGCUCGGGUGAGUUUCGGGGUGAUUUUCUAGACCAUUUUUAGUUGCUGAUUUUUUGCCACAGGGGUGUGCAUCGCGAUCACGGCCUUUUGGUCGCGGUCGCAAAGAGAAAAUUGCUCUUUGAGGCACUGUGAAUCACCAUCGCGGAAGCCUAUUCGCGAUCACGUAGAAGAAAAUUCUGCAAUCACUGACCCGACUUUGGAAACUUAUAUCUUACAAUCUAUAAGGAAUUUGGAGAUCAUCUAAAAAUGAAAGUUGUGGACCUUUUUGUCUAGUUUUCAGAAAAUUAAAACAUUUGUCAUUUGGAGUUAUGUACAAAAAUUUAUGGCUGAUGCACUAUAGGAUGUCUAAGAAGAGUUUGGGAAGGGUAAUGGAAAUUUGUUCAUCACGAAUGUGAAGAAAUGGCCGCGAUCGCAAAGGGUACCUCUGGAGCAGUGUUUAAAGUACAUUAUUUUGAAGGUCUUGGUGAUUUUAUCAUAUUUUGAGCUAUGGAGCUCAGAUUUGGGCGAUAUUGGAGGCGAUCUUCACCACAUGGAUUGAGGUAAGUAUUUUCUACUCGGUAUUGAUUUUAUUCCGUGAUUCCAUCUUCGAUUUUGGUAUUAAUUGGUGAUUUUAAAAGUGAAAUUGGAGUUUUUGUCUAAACUUUUCUAAAGUAAAUUUUUGAGUUUUGAACAUCAAUUCAGAGUAUUUGAGUGAAAUUAGUAUGGUUGGACUCAUAAUUAAAUGGGAAUUCAGAUUUUGUAAGUUUUGUUGGUUUUCGAGGUGCGGGCUCGAGUUUGACUUUUUAGUUGAUUAGUCAUGAGCUCUAGUUUCAUAGGUUCCCGAAGAGCAAAUUGCUGUUUGGGGAACUUUGAAUCGCGAUCGCGGAAGCCUGUUCGCAAUCGCGUAGAAGAAAAUUCUGCUGUCACUGACCCGAUUUUGGAAGCGUAUAUCUUGCAAUCUAUAAGGAAUUUGGAGAUAAUCCAAAAACAAAAGUUAUAGAACUUUGUGUGUAGUUUUCAUAAAAUCAAAUCAUCUUUCAUUUAGAGUUAUGUAUGAAAAGUUAAGGCUGAUGCACUACAGGCUAUAUGAGAAGGGUUUGGGAAGGGUAAUAGAAAUUUGUUCAUUGCGAUCGCGGGGAAAUGGCCGCGAUCGUGAAGGGUAAAAUGUGUGCUGGAAAAUUUUUGAAUAGCGACCGCGAAGAGUACCUCUAGAGCAGUGUUUAAAGUACACUAUUUUGAAGGUCUUUGUCAUUUUAUCAUAUUUUGAGCUAUGGAGCUCGGAUUUGGGCGAUUUUGGAGGCGAUCUUCACCACAUGGAUUGGGGUAAGUAUUUUUUUACUCGGUAUUAAUUUUAUUCCGUGAUUCCAUCUUCAAUUUCGGUAAUUAAUUGGUGAUUUUAAAAGAGAAAUUAGGGGGUUUUGUCUAAACUUUCCUAAAGUGAAUUUUUGAGUUUUAAACAUCAAUUCGGAGUCAGAUUUGAGUGAAAUUAGUAUGGUCAGACUCAUAAUUGAAUGAGUUAUCAGAUUUUGUAAGUUUUGUUGGGUUCCGAGGUGCGGGCCCGUAUUUGAAUUUUUGGUUGACUUUGAGUAAAUGUGUAAAGAUUUAACCUUUAUCAUUUAGGAUUGUUUCCUUAGGCAUUAUUUGAUGUAUUUGAGUUGCUUUUAGUUAGUUUCGAGCCGUUCGGAGGUCGAUACGCGCAGGAUGGCAUUUCUAGAGUAUUGUUUGGCUUGCUCGGUAUUGGAUUUGGCUUGUUCAAGGUAAGUAUCUUAUCUAAACUUAAUUGAGGCACUAGUUGCCUGAAUUUUUUGUGAUACCUACGUGCUAUGGGUGCACACAUGUGCGGGGUUUGAGCCCAUGUGCUAACACUGGGGGGUAUUUAUCCAUGCUCGGGUUGUGCUUAGGUUAUGAUAAGCCUAGAAUUGACUGUUAAGCUUUAAGCUAUGAUGUUUCUCAUAUUUGUAAUAUUGUAUGAACGUUUUGAGCCAUGUUUGAGGCUACUAGAGGUUUAAUCCCUGAAUGAACUUCAUAAAAGCUAUUCUGUGAUGAAAUUAUCGAUUUGAGCUAUAAUAGACACUUUCCACAUGCUACACUUUAGCAUGUCAUUUAUACUAGUCCAGGAGCAUGCGAUUUGUUAUUCAUUCAUCUCAUACAUGUAUUCUUAUAUAUUUGCUCCUGUGUGAUAUUAUUGGAUUGGAUGCCUGUGAUCACACCGAGCGGAUUAUGUUGUUAUGCAUGUGACUACGCAGGGUGAAUUGUGUUGUUAUGCAUGUGACCACGCCGCGCAGAUUGUCUUGUUAUGCCAGUGACCACUCCGGGUGGAUUGUGAUGAUAUGCGUAUGACCACGCCAGGCAGAUUGUUAGCAUAUGACCACACCGGGCAGAUCCAUCACAUUGAGCCUGUGAUCACACCGGGCGAAUUAUGAUAUUGAGCUUGUGACCACGCCGGGCUGGUAGCACGUUAAAUUGGUCGUGCUUGCGUGUGGAUAAGGAUCCAUCUCCCUAGGGUCACCCUCUCAUGUUUCUCUCUUGAUAGUGUACAUGCAGAUUUUGAGAGACCGACGGGUUUCUGGUUGAUGUGAGCUCUGGGAGAGCUGUUUACUGUAUUUGGAUCAGGUUGCAUGCCGCAACAUACCUUAUUGGCUUAUUGUUAUUGGAUCGGCUUGAGCGCCGUAACAGACUGAUAUUUGGUUAUUGCAUUUCAUCCUUACUUGUAAGUUUCUUGACUGUUUACCUAAUUUACUUGUAUAUCUUCCUUAUAUGCUGGAUUGUUGACUAAGCAAAACAUUUUAAACAAAGAAUUGUGAGCAUCAAAGUGGUUCUACCUGAGAUUCCCUAAUUUGAUCAUAUAUUUUGUUACAUCCCGCAUUUUCGCAUGUUAAAAUUUCGACGUAAGAUAAUCGACGUAAGUCCGGGAAUUAGAUUAUUUUGGGAUUAUAAGCAUUAUGCUAUUUCAAACACGUGAUGAGUAAAUUCGUAAAGGAGAGAAGGUAAGCAAAUAGAAGAAAAUGAGUUUCGUCGAAGUUUGGUAAUUUGGGAUAAAAUACGGUCCAAGCUAUAAUACCCCGUAUUUAUGGACUAGUGCCAUACAAGGUACCAUAUGACCAUAAUAGUAUGAUGUAUAAGGGUUUAUUAAAAGUAAGUACUAUUUUAAGUAAUUUGAGAUAAUUCUUUAUUAUAUGGGAAAUUGGUUAAUUAUUGAGUAAUGGGAGAUUACCUAGUUAAUUAAGGAAUUAUUGGGUGAUUAAUUAAGCACAUUUGGAUAAGUAUUACACUUCAAGGUGGCAGCAAAUUAAGGUCAAGUUGAUGAUUCAGUAGUCCUUAGGAUAGGUGGCAUUAAGGGGUCGUUGGGCAAUCUAUCAAGAUAACACAUGGAAACUACACUUUGCCAUAAAAAAACGUAGAAGGAAUUUCAAGUUAGUCAUCUUUACAAAUGAUAUUCAAUUGAUAUCAAAUUCAUUUUUGGAGGAGAUGUUGGAAGCUCACAUAAGACUUCAUGUUACAGUAGCAACGGCUAUUCUUAGAUUAGUAAAGCAAUUCAUACGGAAUUACACUGCGUAAUAACAACGGAAUAUUUGCGAUUCUAAGGGAGUAUGGUGCAACCUUUUACAAGAAUAUCGUACGAAUUUGUCCCUACUCCAGGUAUGUUAAGGCUAAGAUNNNNNNNNNNNNNNNNNNNNNNNNNAUAUUCUCCUUAUCGGGACUUCAUAUUCAAUUGAGUAUUUCCUUUUUCCUGUCAAGAGAGCAUAAAGUCUCUAUAUACAGUAUUACAGUACUUUCAUUACCAUCGAGAUAUAAUCGAUAGGUAGGCCCCUAUUGGGCAACCUCUGAUCAGAUGGUAAGUUAUAUACCGAGUCUACUGUGGCCGAGCAUCUAUGAGCGAGCCCAGUUGGCCGAGAUACAGAGCCUAGUAUGGCCGAGUGCCUAUGAGCGAUCCUACUACGACAAAGCAGUUAUAUAUAUAUAUAUAUAUAUAUAUACCGAGUCUUAUAAGGCCGGAUAACUAUUUUACUUACUAUAUUGAGAGAGUUGAGUCAGUAUCAGCAGGUAAGCAUAUCUUCAGAUUAUCAGUGACCCCCAGUUGCUUUCAGUUAUUAUAUUAUCAGUUCAGUUUUAGCUUUCAGUAUAGUGCCUUACAUACUCGGUACAUUAUUUUGUAUUGACGUCCUAUUUUCCUGGGGACGCUGCGUUUCAUGCCCGCAGGUCUCGAUAGACAGGUCGGGAGUCCUCCAAGUAGGUGAUCAGCUCAACAGAAGAUAUUAGUGCACUUCAUUUGCUGCGGAGUUGC